GUUUACUAUUCAGUUGCACAAAUAUACAGGAUUAGUGCCAACAGCGAACGUUAGGAUUGUGGUUUCAGAGAAAUCGGCUCUAUUUGCAGUUAGAGGUCAACAUGUGAUUCGCAUUCAUAGAACUCCCUUUUAUAGAUUACUCGGAUGUGUCAAUAAUAUUUAAUUGCAUUCCAAAUGUCCAAUGGGAAGAGAACAUGAAAAGUGGGCUGUUAGAGGAACAUUCUUCUUAACAUUAUACCGAUAUGCUAAUAUUCUCAAACGUAUGAAGUGGGAAAUGGAGAAGAAAAUAAAUUAUAUUUAAGAAUAAAAGUUGAUAACCUUUUGUUGGAAAGGCAUCCAUGUAAGCAUAUUCUUAAGAUUAUUGUCGACACUAUGACGUGUUCUAUAUGGGAAGCUGAUAUGGUUCUUCAGUGGAUGCAAUUUUUGCUGUUAGAUCAAUUAUCUGGGAUAAACUCUGGAUGAUGUUCGAUCAUUUCCCUUUGCUCGGGACUUACGUAUUGAGAAAAUCUCAAAAAAUAGGUUAAAUAUUCCUGUUUAUCGUCUGUCCACAGCCACGAGUAGAUUUCGUAUACCUGUGGAUAAUAAUUUGAGUUUCUUCCAACAUAAACACGAUGCCUUCCUCUUCGGCAACGUCGAGCUUCGACGAUGAAAAUACAAUUAGUAGUUUGUAUCGAACGAAAAAUUAGUCGACUAUUAAUAUUAUCAAAAAUUGUUCUAUUGAAAAUUG